rnacentral:lncRNA from 10 species
GCGGGGUUUCACCAUGUUGGUCAGGGUGGUCUUGAUCUCUUGACCUUGUGAUCCGCCCGCCUUGGCCUCCCAAAGUGUUGGGAUUACAGGCGUGAGACACAGUGCCCAGCCUAGAAUAUUUCAUAAAUGUAGCAAAUUGGCUUUAGGGAACUUUUUCUGCUUCCAGCAUUCAGCAGCUAUUUGAAGGGUUUUGGAAGCAAAGGAAUGGAGGGAGACAGGACGGCACCCUGAGGGAGACGCAGGGCUGAACGGAGCUGUUCGGGGAUAGCUGUGGCUUGAGUGGGUCUGUUGGCUGAAAGGAGGGAUUCGUUGAAGAAGGAGCAAUGGACGAGGUGAGAGAGAGGAUACUGGAUGGAACCAGGUUUCAGAGGAGGCUGAUGGGAGAAUGUGAGGAGCACCAAAGCGAGCCUUAGGAAAAAGAAGUUCAGACAGACAGACACUUCGGUAAACCACAGCUCCCAGUAUUCACCACUGUGUGUAGUCUCCUCCCACACUGACUCUGGGCUUGGUCAGCUGACAAGCUUUGGCCAAUAGGGCUCUAGCAAGAAGAUGCCAGCAGAGGCUUGAAAAGUGCCUACCCCUGGCCUGGGAUGCUUCCUCCUGGGAUGCUCCCACUUGGAACCCAACUAUUGUGCUGCAGAAGUUUAACUUAACUGUGUAAGGAGGCCAAGAGGAGGCCCUGGCUGCCAGCCAGCAUCAACUUCCAGUGACGUGAGUGUGCCAUUCUGGAACUGGAUCCUGCAGCCUCGGUGGAGCAGCCUCAGCUGAUGCCAUGUGGAACAGAGAUGAACUGCCGCUGCCGAGCUCUGCCCACGUUGCAGAAUCAUGAGCAAAUAUGUUGUGGAUUGGCUGUAACUCUGCUCUGGGAUCCAGGCUGAAGGAGCAGGCUCUAUCUGGAACAUUACUAGUCUCCAGGCAGAAGAAAAAGAGACAAUGGAAUGGAUGAUUGAAUGGAUGAAUGAACUCCACAGGAAGAUGAGGAAAGCCUUUAUGGAUGGAGUGAGCUUGCAGCAGAGUCUCAAAGGAAGAAGAAAUAAAACAAACUUCUACAUGGCAAAAUAAACCUCUACAUGGCAAAAUAAACCUCUACAUGGCAAAAUAAACCUCUACAUGGAUAGAGAUCUGUCUCAGACACAUUUUGGUUUCCAUGACUUCUGAAUGGCAGCAUGAGGAGCUCCAUGAACCCUCUCCCCAGUGAAAUGACCAUAAUCUCUGGAAAUUGCUUAAGAUCAAAGCCACAACUAUUUAAAGCCUUUGGAAAUUGUUUUAUGGGGAUGCGGCAAAUUAAUAAACUUUUAUUCAAG